rnacentral:rRNA from 1 species
GAUGAACGCUGGCGGCGUGCCUAAUACAUGCAAGUCGAGCGAACAGAUAAGGAGCUUGCUCCUUUGAAGUUAGCGGCGGACGGGUGAGUAACACGUGGGUAACCUACCUAUAAGACUGGGAUAACUUCGGGAAACCGGAGCUAAUACCGGAUAACAUUUAGAACCGCAUGGUUCUAAAGUGAAAGAUGGUUUUGCUAUCACUUAUAGAUGGACCCGCGCCGUAUUAGCUAGUUGGUAAGGUAACGGCUUACCAAGGCGACGAUACGUAGCCGACCUGAGAGGGUGAUCGGCCACACUGGAACUGAGACACGGUCCAGACUCCUACGGGAGGCAGCAGUAGGGAAUCUUCCGCAAUGGGCGAAAGCCUGACGGAGCAACGCCGCGUGAGUGAUGAAGGGGUUCGGCUCGUAAAACUCUGUUAUUAGGGAAGAACAAAUGUGUAAGUAACUGUGCACAUCUUGACGGUACCUAAUCAGAAAGCCACGGCUAACUACGUG